UUAAGCGACUAAGCGUACACGGUGGAUGCCCUGGCAGUCAGAGGCGAUGAAGGACGUGCUAAUCUGCGAAAAGCGUCGGUAAGGUGAUAUGAACCGUUACAGCCGGCGAUGUCCGAAUGGGGAAACCCAGUGUGAUUCGUCACACUAUCGUUAACUGAAUACAUAGGUUAACGAGGCGAACCGGGGGAACUGAAACAUCUAAGUACCCCGAGGAAAAGAAAUCAACCGAGAUUCCCCCAGUAGCGGCGAGCGAACGGGGAGCAGCCCAGAGUCUGAAUCAGCUUGUGUGUUAGUGGAACGGUCUGGAAAGUCCGACGGUACAGGGUGAUAGUCCCGUACACCAAAAUGCACAGGCUGUGAACUCGAAGAGUAGGGCGGGACACGUGGUAUCCUGUCUGAAUAUGGGGGGACCAUCCUCCAAGGCUAAAUACUCCUGACUGACCGAUAGUGAACCAGUACCGUGAGGGAAAGGCGAAAAGAACCCCGGCGAGGGGAGUGAAAAAGAACCUGAAACCGUGUACGUACAAGCAGUGGGAGCACCUUCGGGUGUGACUGCGUACCUUUUGUAUAAUGGGUCAGCGACUUAUAUUCUGUAGCAAGGUUAACCGUAUAGGGGAGCCGCAGGGAAACCGAGUCUUAACUGGGCGUUAAGUUGCAGGGUAUAGACCCGAAACCCGGUGAUCUAGCCAUGGGCAGGUUGAAGGUUGGGUAACACUAACUGGAGGACCGAACCGACUAAUGUUGAAAAAUUAGCGGAUGACUUGUGGCUGGGGGUGAAAGGCCAAUCAAACCGGGAGAUAGCUGGUUCUCCCCGAAAGCUAUUUAGGUAGCGCCUCGUGAAUUCAUCUUCGGGGGUAGAGCACUGUUUCGGCUAGGGGGUCAUCCCGACUUACCAACCCGAUGCAAACUACGAAUACCGAAGAAUGUUAUCACGGGAGACACACGGCGGGUGCUAACGUCCGUCGUGAAGAGGGAAACAACCCAGACCGCCAGCUAAGGUCCCAAAGUCAUGGUUAAGUGGGAAACGAUGUGGGAAGGCACAGACAGCCAGGAUGUUGGCUUAGAAGCAGCCAUCAUUUAAAGAAAGCGUAAUAGCUCACUGGUCGAGUCGGCCUGCGCGGAAGAUGUAACGGGGCUAAACCAUGCACCGAAGCUGCGGCAGCGACACUAUGUGUUGUUGGGUAGGGGAGCGUUCUGUAAGCCUGCGAAGGUGACCUGUGAGGGUUGCUGGAGGUAUCAGAAGUGCGAAUGCUGACAUAAGUAACGAUAAAGCGGGUGAAAAGCCCGCUCGCCGGAAGACCAAGGGUUCCUGUCCAACGUUAAUCGGGGCAGGGUGAGUCGACCCCUAAGGCGAGGCCGAAAGGCGUAGUCGAUGGGAAACAGGUUAAUAUUCCUGUACUUGGUGUUACUGCGAAGGGGGGACGGAGAAGGCUAUGUUAGCCGGGCGACGGUUGUCCCGGUUUAAGCAUGUAGGCUGGUUAUCCAGGCAAAUCCGGAUAAUCAAGGCUGAGGUGUGAUGACGAGGCACUACGGUGCUGAAGUAACAAAUGCCCUGCUUCCAGGAAAAGCCUCUAAGCAUCAGGUAACAUUAAAUCGUACCCCAAACCGACACAGGUGGUCAGGUAGAGAAUACCAAGGCGCUUGAGAGAACUCGGGUGAAGGAACUAGGCAAAAUGGUGCCGUAACUUCGGGAGAAGGCACGCUGGUGUGUAGGUGAAGUCCCUGCGGAUGGAGCUGAGACCAGUCGAAGAUACCAGCUGGCUGCAACUGUUUAUUAAAAACACAGCACUGUGCAAACACGAAAGUGGACGUAUACGGUGUGACGCCUGCCCGGUGCCGGAAGGUUAAUUGAUGGGGUUAUCCGUAAGGAGAAGCUCUUGAUCGAAGCCCCGGUAAACGGCGGCCGUAACUAUAACGGUCCUAAGGUAGCGAAAUUCCUUGUCGGGUAAGUUCCGACCUGCACGAAUGGCGUAAUGAUGGCCAGGCUGUCUCCACCCGAGACUCAGUGAAAUUGAACUCGCUGUGAAGAUGCAGUGUACCCGCGGCAAGACGGAAAGACCCCGUGAACCUUUACUAUAGCUUGACACUGAACAUUGAGCCUUGAUGUGUAGGAUAGGUGGGAGGCUUUGAAGCGUGGACGCCAGUCUGCGUGGAGCCAACCUUGAAAUACCACCCUUUAAUGUUUGAUGUUCUAACGUUGGCCCCUUACCGGGGUUGCGGACAGUGUCUGGUGGGUAGUUUGACUGGGGCGGUCUCCUCCCAAAGCGUAACGGAGGAGCACGAAGGUUAGCUAAUCCUGGUCGGACAUCAGGAGGUUAGUGCAAUGGCAUAAGCUAGCUUGACUGCGAGCGUGACGGCGCGAGCAGGUGCGAAAGCAGGUCAUAGUGAUCCGGUGGUUCUGAAUGGAAGGGCCAUCGCUCAACGGAUAAAAGGUACUCCGGGGAUAACAGGCUGAUACCGCCCAAGAGUUCAUAUCGACGGCGGUGUUUGGCACCUCGAUGUCGGCUCAUCACAUCCUGGGGCUGAAGUAGGUCCCAAGGGUAUGGCUGUUCGCCAUUUAAAGUGGUACGCGAGCUGGGUUUAGAACGUCGUGAGACAGUUCGGUCCCUAUCUGCCGUGGGCGCUGGAGAAUUGAGGGGGGCUGCUCCUAGUACGAGAGGACCGGAGUGGACGCAUCACUGGUGUUCGGGUUGUCAUGCCAAUGGCACUGCCCGGUAGCUAAAUGCGGAAGAGAUAAGUGCUGAAAGCAUCUAAGCACGAAACUUGCCCCGAGAUGAGUUCUCCCUGAGACUUUAAGUCUCCUGAAGGAACGUUGAAGACGACGACGUUGAUAGGCCGGGUGUGUAAGCGCAGCGAUGCGUUGAGCUAACCGGUACUAAUGAACCGUGAGGCUUAACCUU
rnacentral:rRNA from 1 species